rnacentral:lncRNA from 1 species
UGUCUCGGCUGGUCGGUGUAUCUCCCAGCAGCAGAGUCUACAUGAGAACAACCCCUCACAGUCAGACGGUGCCUGGAGGCCCCAGAAUUGAUGCACGGCAAGAUGACAGUAGCCUAAAUAAAGAAUCCUGGGAACACACAGAGACGACACAAACUCAAAAGGUGAGACAAUUCCAGGAAAAUCUGGAAUAAUAAAAAAUAAAACAUUUGGAGUUCAUCAGCUGCUGAAAUACAGCCCUUUGACGUACUUGAAAAGAUUCCAACGCUUAUACUCUGCAUAUCACUCACAUAAUGGCUGCAGAUAUGUGGCCCCCGCAUGACGCACCACGGAAGUCACCAAACCAGAUGUAACCCCCAGAGGCUGAGAACUUGGGCUGCCUGCCAUCUGACUUUUAAAAAGCUGAAUUAGUCAUUGAUCCCUGAGGAACAAGGAGGGUUGAGGAUGAAAGGCAAGCUGCUCUAACCCAAUUUAGGUCUUUGCAACUGAAAUUGAGAUCAAAUUUCAAAAAUCUGUAAACUUGCCCAGCUUCACAGACCUGUGAUUCAUCUACAAGAUGACAUGUUUAUAGGCCCAGUGAUGCCAUUUUCAAGGAUUGGCCUCUGCCACAAUGAAUUAGUCGUUUCUUUGUGUGGCACUGCAUACACCAUACUUUGAUUAAAGCCAGAGUGUAUUUAUUCCAAUUUCUCAUUAAUAAUCUGCCACGGAUAUUGAUACUCAAGUUAAAUUCAUAUGUCCUUCAUUUGUUAAUCAGCCAUUCAUAGAAUGUAUGUUCCAUGAGGCCCGAGACGCCAGUACCUGGCACAUAAUAGAUAUUCAAUAACUGUGCAUAUUGACUAAAAGACUUUCUGUAAUACCUACUAUGAGCCAGACUAUAUAGAAAAUGGUACCCAAUGAUGUUUUGAAAAUCAAGUGCAGAAAUGGCCCAGACAUGUGCUUAUAAGCAAGUCAAGCUCACAUGAUAGAGAAUGAUUCUAGGGAAGAUAAUCUGGAAUGUAUUUCUGUAAAAUAGACCCUGGGCUUCAUGUUAAUAGAAGAAAUACAAUUCU